GAUGAACGCUGGCUACAGGCUUAGCACAUGCAAGUCGAGGGGCAGCGCAGUGUAGCAAUACAUGGGCGGCGACCGGCGCACGGGUGCGUAACGCGUAUCCAACCUUCCCGUUACUCAGGGAUAGCCUUCCGAAAGGGAGAUUAAUACCUGAUGGUGUUGAAAUUCCGCAUGUUAUUUCAACUAAAGAUUUAUCGGUAACGGAUGGGGAUGCGUGACAUUAGAUAGUAGGCGGGGUAACGGCCCACCUAGUCUACGAUGUCUAGGGGUUCUGAGAGGAAGGUCCCCCACACUGGAACUGAGACACGGUCCAGACUCCUACGGGAGGCAGCAGUGAGGAAUAUUGGUCAAUGGUCGGAAGACUGAACCAGCCAAGUAGCGUGAAGGAUGAAGGUUCUAUGGAUUGUAAACUUCUUUUAUACGGGAAUAAAACCUCCCACGUGUGGGAGCUCGUAUGUACCGUAUGAAUAAGCAUCGGCUAACUCCGUGCCAGCCGCCGCUGUAAAAC
rnacentral:rRNA from 1 species